ensembl:snRNA U6 U6 spliceosomal RNA
UUGCUGUGGCAGCACAUAUACUAAAAUUGGAAAAAAAUACAGGGAAGAUUAGCAUGGUCCCUGCACAAGGAGGACACACAAAUUUGUAAAGCAUUCAAUUUUUUA